GGAAUUUUCCGCAAUGGGCGAAAGCCUGACGGAGCGACGCCGUGUGUGGGAUGAAGGCCUUCGGGUUGUAAACCGCUGUCAGAGGGGAGUAAGUGAAGGGGGUAUCCUCAGAGGAAGGACGGGCUAAGUUCGUGCCAGCAGCCGCGGUAAGACGAACCGUCCAAACGUUAUUCGGAAUCACUGGGCUUAAAGGGUGCGUAGGCGGCUCUGCAAGUUGGGUGUGAAAGCCCUCGGCUCAACCGAGGAAUUGCGCUCAAAACUGCAGGGCUUGAGGGAGAUAGAGGUGAGCGGAACUUAUGGUGGAGCGGUGAAAUGCGUUGAUAUCAUAAGGAACACCGGUGGCGAAAGCGGCUCACUGGGUCUCUUCUGACGCUGAGGCACGAAAGCUAGGGUAGCGAACGGGAUUAGAUACCCCAGUAGUC
rnacentral:rRNA from 1 species